UCAUUUAAAGAGUGCGUAACAGCUCACUAGUCGAGGAGUUUUGCAUGGAUAAUAAUCGGGCAUAAGCCCUUUACCGAAGCUGUGGAUGUCGUAAGACAUGGUAGGGGAGCAUUCCGGCGGCGACGAAGGCCGUCCUCGAGGACGACUGGAGCUUUCGGAAAAGCAAAUGUAGGUAUAAGUAACGAUAAAGGGGGCGCGAAACCCCCUCGCCAUAAGACUAAGGAUUCCUGAUCAACGCUAAUCGGAUCAGGGUAAGUCGGGCCCUAAGGCGCAGCCGAACGGCGUAGCCGAUGGAAGAAACGGUAAAGAUUCCGUUACUGGAUAUAGGAGCGAUGUGGAGACGGAGAAGUGACAGUCCUGCCGGCUGACGGAAUAGCCGGUUGAAGGGUGUAGAUAUUGAUUCCCGUAGGCAAAUCCGCGGGGAGAGUCGAACCUGAGAGUAUACGGAGCGCUUGCGCAACGUAAUAUGGACGUAACCAUGCUCCCGAGAAAAUCCGCUAAACUUAUCCAUGCGGCACCCGUACCGUAAACGGACACACGUGGUCGGGUUGAGAAUACUGAGGCGCUCGAGUGAUUCACGGUUAAGGAACUAGGCAAAUUGACCCUGUAACUUCGGGAUAAAGGGUCCCAACGAGAGUUGGGCGCAGAGAAUAGGUCCAGGCAACUGUUUAACAAAAACACAGGGCUGUGCCAAAUUGAAAGAUCACGUAUACAGCCUGACACCUGCCCGGUGCUGGAAGGUUAAGAGGAGAUGUCAUCGCAAGAGAAGCAUUGAAUUGAAGCCCCAGUAAACGGCGGCCGUAACUAUAACGGUCCUAAGGUAGCGAAAUUCCUUGUCGGGUAAGUUCCGACCUGCACGAAUGGUGUAAUGAUCCGGACGCUGUCUCAACCAUGAGCUCAGUGAAAUUGUAGUAUCGGUGAAGAUGCCGAUUACCCGCGAUGGGACGAAAAGACCCCGUGAACCUUUACUAUAGCUUAACAUUGAAUUUGGGUAAUUGAUGUGUAGGAUAGGCCGGAGGCUUCGAAGCAGGUACGCCAGUAUUUGUGGAGCCGCUGUUGAAAUACGGCCCUUUGAUUAUUUGAGUUCUAACCCGCGGUUGCGGGGACACUGUUUGGUGGGUAGUUUGACUGGGGUGGUCGCCUCCAAAAGCGUAACGGAGGCUUCUAAAGGUGCCCUCACGACGAUUGGUAACCGUCGGCAGAGUGUAAUGGCAUAAGGGCGCUUGACUGGGAGACUAACAAGUCGAUCAGGUAGGAAACUAGAGCAUAGUGAUCCGGUGUUUCCGUAUGGAAGGGACAUCGCUCAAAGGAUAAAAGGUACUCCGGGGAUAACAGGCUGAUC
rnacentral:rRNA from 1 species